AGAGUUUGAUCCUGGCUCAGGACGAACGCUGGCGGCGUGCCUAAUACAUGCAAGUCGAGCGAACAGAGAAGGAGCUUGCUCCUUCGACGUUAGCGGCGGACGGGUGAGUAACACGUGGGCAACCUACCUUAUAGUUUGGGAUAACUCCGGGAAACCGGGGCUAAUACCGAAUAACCUGUUUCACCUCAUGGUGAAGCACUGAAAGACGGUUUCGGCUGUCGCUAUAGGAUGGGCCCGCGGCGCAUUAGCUAGUUGGUGAGGUAACGGCUCACCAAGGCGACGAUGCGUAGCCGACCUGAGAGGGUGAUCGGCCACACUGGGACUGAGACACGGCCCAGACUCCUACGGGAGGCAGCAGUAGGGAAUCUUCCACAAUGGGCGAAAGCCUGAUGGAGCAACGCCGCGUGAGUGAAGAAGGAUUUCGGUUCGUAAAACUCUGUUGUAAGGGAAGAACAAGUACAGUAGUAACUGGCUGUACCUUGACGGUACCUUAUUAGAAAGCCACGGCUAACUACGUGCCAGCAGCCGCGGUAAUACGUAGGUGGCAAGCGUUGUCCGGAAUUAUUGGGCGUAAAGCGCGCGCAGGUGGUUUCUUAAGUCUGAUGUGAAAGCCCACGGCUCAACCGUGGAGGGUCAUUGGAAACUGGGAGACUUGAGUGCAGAAGAGGAUAGUGGAAUUCCAAGUGUAGCGGUGAAAUGCGUAGAGAUUUGGAGGAACACCAGUGGCGAA
rnacentral:rRNA from 1 species